GACGAACGCUGGCGGCGUGCUUAACACAUGCAAGUCGAACGGAUCUUCUGGUUUUCGGACUGGUUGGUUAGUGGCGAACGGGUGAGUAACACGUGAGUAACCUGCCCCUCUCUUUGGGAUAACUGCGAGAAAUUGUAGCUAAUACCGAAUAUUCACUUCCUGUCGCAUGGUGGGGGGUGGAAAGAUUUUUUGGUGGGGGAUGGGCUCGCGGCCUAUCAGCUUGUUGGUGGGGUGAUGGCCUACCAAGGCUUUGACGGGUAGCCGGCCUGAGAGGGCGACCGGCCACACUGGGACUGAGAUACGGCCCAGACUCCUACGGGAGGCAGCAGUGGGGAAUAUUGCACAAUGGGCGAAAGCCUGAUGCAGCAACGCCGCGUGCGGGAUGACGGCCUUCGGGUUGUAAACCGCUUUCACCAGGGGCGAAUUUGGACGGUACCUGGGGAAGAAGCACCGGCUAACUACGUG
rnacentral:rRNA from 1 species